rnacentral:rRNA from 1 species
CACGUAGUUAGCCGGGGCUUCCUCCUUGGGUACCGUCAGUUCUUCUUCCCCAAGGACAGAAGUUUACGACCCGAAGGCCUUCUUCCUUCACGCGGCGUUGCUGCAUCAGGCUUUCGCCCAUUGUGCAAUAUUCCCCACUGCUGCCUCCCGUAGGAGUUUGGACCGUGUCUCAGUUCCAAUGUGGCCGUUCACCCGUCUCAGGUCGGCUACUGAUCGUCGCCUUGGUAAGCCGUUACCUUACCAACUAGCUAAUCAGACGCAGGCCCAUCCUUUGCCGAUAAAUCUUUGACCAUCUGCUCAUGUAACCAAAUGGUGUUAUCAGGUUUUAAUCAUCGUUUCCAAUGGCUAUCCCUGUGCAAAGGGCAGGUUGCCUACGCGUUACUCACCCGUCGCCGCUUUCCACUGACUCCUUCAACCGAAGUAUCUGUCAUCAGCUUCUCGCUCGACUUGCAUGUGUUAGGCACGCCGCCGGCGUUCAUCCUGAGCCAGGAUCAAACUCU